rnacentral:lncRNA from 1 species
CCACCCCUGCUGCAUAUGUGCAUAUGGAGAUUGCCAGGCGAGGGGUCUAAUCAAAGCUACAUCUGCUGGCCUACACUACAGCCACAGCAAUGCCAGAUCCAAGCCACCUCUGCAACCUACACCAUAUCUCAUGGCAACACCUGAUCCUUAACCCACUGAGCGAGGCCAGGGAUCAAACCCACGACCUCAUGGUUCCUAGUCGGAUUCGUUCCCGCUGCACCAUGACGGGAAUGCCACUUCACUCUUCUUUAGAAGAAAAAACAUUUCCAACAAGUCCCUUCGAUUCCUGGUGGCAGUCCGACUCGCCUGCUCUCCAGCAUGAGGCGAGCGCUGUGGCAGAGGGGCACAAGCUCGCUUUCUCUGUUUCUCCUGAAGAUCCUCUCUCUGCUGGAUCAUGAAUACCGUGAAAGCUCUGGUUCCUUAAACCAGAAUGUCCUGCUUCUGGGGUCAGUGUUAAUUUGUCCUUUCUGCAGCAGCCUUUAAAAUGGUCUUACUCUUUAGAAAUCCCCCUCUGGGGCUCUAUCCUGUGCCUAUGACUCGAUAUAUAGAAGAAAGCUUUAUGUAGAAAGAUGUCCUGUGUAGUCUGAUUUGUAAUAGGAGAUGCUAAAUGAUAAACGAUGCUACACUUCAGUCACUUUCAGGCGUAAACAUCUGUUUACUAAAAGUGAUCAAAUAAGCUGCUCCGUUUUACAUGUGAUUGGUUCUCAACUGUGCAAAACAGUCAAAUGGAAACACAAAGGAUAAAACAGAGGCUGGGGGAGUUGGCAGGGGCCAUCUCUGGAUUGUGGUUCAUUUGUUCGUUAUUCGUUCCUUCAGCAAAUACUUCUGGAACAUCUGUGUCAGGCAGUAUGCGAGGCUCUACAGAUACAAUGAUGAAUGAGACGGAUGUAACCUGCCCUCGUGAGCUGACAGUCUUGAGAACUAUGUAAUUUGUAGCAAAGGUGUUUGUGUCACAAUCGCCACGGGAUGCUUUUUAAAAAUUCACAUAUCCCUCACUUUAUUCCUGAAAAGUGUGGUUUACUGAGUCUGGGAUGUGGUUAGGGCAUAAGAUACUUUUUUUUUUUUUUUCUUUUUACACCUUCACUUGCGUUAUACGGAAGCCCCUGGGCUAGGGGUCUAACUGGAGGUGCAGGUGCUGGCCUAUGCCACAGCCACAGCAACACCUGAGCACUGCCAGAUCCUUAACCUACAGAGGGAGGCUAAGGAUCUAACCUGCAUCCUCAUGGACACUGUGUUGGGUUCUUAACCCACUGAGCCACAAUGGGAACUCCAUAAUAUACUUUUAAAAAAAGCUCCCACAGUGAUUCUGAAACAUAACCAGGAUGAUAAAUACUCAACUAGAACAGCACUCUCCAACUUUCAUCAUUAUAUAUCCCUUCUGUAGCAAAACAAAUCAAAUAAAAUUAGCAUUCCUUCACAAUAUAUAAGUAUUUAUAAAUGCUACACCUUUACUAGUCCACUAGUAUAUUAUAUAUAUUAUAAAACAUUGUUGGAGGUUGUUAUUUAAGAAGAAUUAUAUUAAACAUACUAUAUAAAAAUAAAAGUUCUACUAUUUUCUUCCCUGAACCCCCUGGAUCCCUCUGUGAGUCCCAAGUGGCUCAUUUGGAAAUUGCUUCUCUGGUCUAAAGGAAAAUGUGGCUGUGAGUGGCAAACAAAGAUACUGCUUAUUUGGUAGCACAGCCUCAAGGGUGUUCAAAGACUAAUGCAAACAUGAGUCAUUAAAAGUAGAAUUAGACAUGCAAAUAGACUUUCGACAUUAAAAUGGAAUUAGAACAACAGUGCAUGUCUUUCUUACCUCGGUGGCUAAUGAAUAAUCAGAAAUCAAUAGACAGGAGAAUUCCUUAUGGGGUCUCAGGGCCCUAAAAUCAUCUUAACCAAGCCGUAACAACAAGAGCAGGGAAGAAAGAAUCAUGCAGACUGAAAAAUGAACAGAAAGGUUUAUACAAGGCCUACGGACUUGCAGCCUGAAGUGAAUCAGGGCCAGGCUGGAGCUGUGGGAUUCCGAAAAGGGGUUGGGGCUGGACUGUUGAGCUGAGAAGCCCAGAAGGCCCUAAGACUUGGUUGGGCCUACACGGUAGUUCCGGACUCGCUGCAGAGACCCCAUUCGAUGCAAGGCCAACUUCUCUACUGAAGAGGGCAGCAGAGAGCAAGGAAUGGGCCCUUACUGCUCUUAGACUCUCAGAAAGCUAGCCAAUCAUCACCUCCCUUACUUGCUGGCGGUGGCCUAAACAGGAAGGACCAGAAAGAAAGGCCAGAAGAUGCAUCUGUUCCCAGACUAAGACAUUUCAAAGCAUUUGGAGGUCAACCUCUAGUCUAUAAUCUAGUGGCCCUGCUGCCAGGGAUAGAGGAGGCACAGGUGGUUGUAGAAGUCCCAGUAGGAGAUCAUAGAUAAUGAGGGAAACCUGGGAGAUGCUGGGAGCGACCACUGUAGUUUAGGAAAACCGCCAGAACAAGGCAGGCUUGCUUAACUAGUGGAGGUGCUAGAACUGCCUCAGGUCUUUGGGUGGGGGAUGGGAUGAGGUCUGCAUUUAGAUUCAGACCAAGGGCUAGAGUUUGAAGACCGCCCUUCAGCUGAUUGGAAUACACACCUUACUGGAUGUUAAGGAGGAGCUGCUACUCCCAAAAAGGAAGAGGCGGGCCUUUCCAGCCCCCGUGCCCCUAGGAUGAUAAGACUGGCCCACCGGAGCCUCAGGGCAGAGCUUCCUUCCUGCCCGCUUGCAUCUCUUAUUAAGCGUCCUAUCCUAUUAAAUCUGUUUCUUGCCUCUCACCUUGUCUCUUGCUGAAUUCCUCCUGCACGGAGGCGUAAAGAACCUGAACCUUAGUGAGUCCAGACACAGGGUGAGUAACUCGGAUUUAAAACUGUGGGUUUAAGUCCCAAUCUGGCUUUAGGCUGGGUUCGAGUCCCAAUCUGGGGGAUUUUGGCUGGGCUUAAGUCCUGGCACGUGGGUUCAAGUCCCAAUCUGUGUUCUGGCUAGGUUCAGGCCAUUAGUGCUGUCAGUUUCACUGCCACUGUGAUUGUGUUUUCCAUCUGUUAGCCUUGUGAGGGUUAAAUGCCUUCUCAUACACGCCUCGUUCCCUUUCAGAGUGAGCUCGUGAAGGAAGGGGGAUUGUAGGAUGCUUUCAGAGACAAGGAAACAGAUCCCCAAAGAUGUGAACACUGACCCAAACUUCCAGAGCCAGUUCUUGACAGAGUUUAACUUUUCCUGCUGAACUCCCCUUUCUCAGAGUUGGACAAUUUCUCAAGGACCUGUACAUUCCGUAUGAAAAUGAAGAUUUGGGGGAAGUUCCUGUUGUGGCUCAGUGGUUAAUGAAUCUGACUAGGAACCAUGAAGUUGCAGGUUCAAUCCCUGGCCUAGCUCAGUGGGUUAAGGAUCCGUCGUUGCCGGGAGCUGUGGCGUGGGUCGAAGAAACGGCUCGGAUCCCACAUGUCUGCCAGCGGCUACAGCUCUGAUUACACCCCUGGCCCGGGAACCUCCAUUUGCCAAGGGAGCGGCCCUAGAAAAGGCAAAAAGAAAAAAA